GACGAACGCUGGCGGCGUGCUUAACACAUGCAAGUCGAGCGAUGAAGCACCUUCGGGUGUGAAUUAGCGGCGAACGGGUGAGGAACACGUGAGAAAUCUGCCUUCAACUCUGGGAUAACUCCGGGAAACCGGGGCUAAUACCGGAUAUGAGCCUUGAUCGCAUGAUCGGGGCUGGAAAGUUUUUCGGUUGAAGAUGAUCUCGCGGCCUAUCAGCUUGUUGGUGAGGUAAUGGCUCACCAAGGCGACGACGGGUAGCCGGCCUGAGAGGGUGACCGGCCACACUGGGACUGAGACACGGCCCAGACUCCUACGGGAGGCAGCAGUGGGGAAUAUUGCACAAUGGGCGAAAGCCUGAUGCAGCAACGCCGCGUGAGGGAUGAAGGCCUUCGGGUUGUAAACCUCUUUUAGCAGGGAAGAAGCGAAAGUGACGGUACCUGCAGAAAAAGCACCGGCUAACUACGUGCCAGCAGCCGCCGUAA
rnacentral:rRNA from 1 species